rnacentral:rRNA from 1 species
AUUGAACGCUGGCGGCAGGCCUAACACAUGCAAGUCGAGCGGAUGAAGGGAGCUUGCUCCUGGAUUCAGCGGCGGACGGGUGAGUAAAGCCUAGGAAUCUGCCUGGUAGUGGGGGAUAACGUCCGGAAACGGGCGCUAAUACCGCAUACGUCCUGAGGGAGAAAGUGGGGGAUCUUCGGACCUCACGCUAUCAGAUGAGCCUAGGUCGGAUUAGCUAGUUGGUGGGGUAAAGGCCUACCCAGGAGACGAUCCGUAACUGGUCUGAGAGGAUGAUCAGUCACACUGGAACUGAGACACGGUCCAGACUCCUACGGGAGGCAGCAGUGGGGAAUAUUGGACAAUGGGCGAAAGCCUGAUCCAGCCAUGCCGCGUGUGUGAAGAAGGUCUUCGGAUUGUAAAGCACUUUAAGUUGGGAGGAAGGGCAGUAAGUUAAUACCUUGCUGUUUUGACGUUACCAACAGAAUAAGCACCGGCUAACUUCGUG